AGAAUGUCAGAACGCUUCUCGGGUGUGAGAGGGAAGAGGGGGACAACCACAAUGGAGCCGGUUCUUCCUAAAACUCCAAGACGCAGACCCGACGACCACAUGGACGAAGAGGACAGACGGAGUGACGGGCCCAGGAAGCCACCUGCCCCUUGAAUUCUGUGCUGAAUGAUGUCCAUGCCCCCAGCAUGUGUUUUUCUGAAGACGAGAGGUAAUAAAACCACCCGGGGACCUCAUCUCAUAGCAACACUUGCUUCUGUAGAAGAGAAAGCACCUUGGGGCCUCCGGGACCUCCAAUGUUUAGCAUUAAUAACUACAUGCAAAAAUAAUGACUCCAGCUGCCGGCUCUCCCUGCACCAUUCUCUGUGCUAGAUAUAUGAGAGGAUUUAUUUCUGUGUACACAAGUAUUUGAAUGCGAGUGCUCCAACACCUUCCACAAUCUCAACAUGCAGCUGUUUGGAUUCUUGAAAGGCGAUAGAUCAUCAAAUGUUAAAGCUUGGAAGGACCAUCCAAUCCAAUGCCUUCAUGUCACUAAGAUCCCAAAAGAGAAAGGGGCUGGCCUAGGGGCCAUAGCAAGCUAGUGAGUGGUAGAGACAAGACCUCAUCCCCCAGGCCAUUUCUCUUCUCCCUUGCUAUUCCAGUAGAUGUCUUGCUAACCUGUGCAAACUUAGAUAUAAAUAUCUCCCCAAUUAAUUAAUGAGAUUUCUAAUUUCUCUGGAAAAUGUGGGGAGAUCACUUCAAGGACUUUCUUCUCAUCCAUUUAUCAGUGUCUGGCAAAGUUUCUUUUCCCCCUAAGUUACUAGACGAAAGCUAAUUCCAUGUGGUGGGCAGAUAACUAGACAAAGUUACUAGGAAAAUAGAAAGCCAGAACUGGAAAUACACUUUGAGAUGAUCUAGUCCAGUCAGCCAAUCGAUAACUGCUAAACUCUUAUCAUGUGUCUGUUGUUGUGCUAAGAACUGGAUAUUCAAAGAAAAAGAAAAAGACAAUCCUUGCUUUCCAGAACUCCAUGUAGAACCGGACCUCAACUUUAUCAUCUGUCAAAAGAGGGGAAGGAGACCAGAUGAAAUAUAAGGGCCUCUUCCUCUCAGAGUCUCUACUUCUUUAUCCAGGGCUCCUUCUACUGGUAAACAAAUAUAUCCUAAAUCAGACUACGCCUUAAGUAAACAUGCAGGGAAUAAUCUCACAAUCUUACAUCUUAAAAGCACCUUGUAUUCGAGCUUGUUUAGACAUUUUUUUUUUUU